rfam:Streptomyces sp. NRRL WC-3618 P435contig254.1, whole genome shotgun sequence.
CUUGAUGGAGCCGAGCCACAGGGGCUCGCCGCUCUCCGGCCGCUCCUGCCCGUACGUGGCGAGCAGGGCCUGCGCCUC